CAGAAUUGUCUUUUGUCCUGAGUCACUCACUUUGCCAGAACCCAGGAAAUGGGCAUGGGAAUAGAAAGGUUUCCAAUCUUUGCCCUUUAACUGAAGGUUGUUUUGCUAUCCAUUCACCUUACACCGAGGCUGCAGUUGCUUAGAAAUGCAGACUGAAUGCAGUCUUUACUGUUAGACUCUCUGCUUAGGGUGGACUUCCUGAGCCUUGAGAAGCCAUCUGAAUGAGAAUAAAGGUAUAAACUAUUCACGUAUGAAGAACCUACUAUGCAGACUUUUCAGUGGAAACCUCAUAGCCCAGGAAAUGGUGGCAUGACACACUUAAUGUGCCAGCCUAGGACAUCAAGAGGCAAGGGGCAGCUUUGAGUUCAUGAGGACCAACUCGACUUUGUCUCCAGAGAGCAAACCAUUGAUGGAUGACACACCAAGAGGGUCCUCACAAAAUGCCAGCCCAUUGAUCU